rnacentral:rRNA from 1 species
GGGCAGCAGUCGCGAAAACUCCGCAAUACGCGAAAGCGUGACGGGGCUACCCCGAGUGUCGUCCGCUGAGGACGACUUUUCCACGCUGUAAGGAGGCGUGGGAAUAAGGAGAGGGCAAGUCUGGUGUCAGCCGCCGCGGUAAUACCAGCUCUCCGAGUGGUAGGGACGAUUAUUGGGCUUAAAGCGUCCGUAGCCGGCUCAGCAAGUCUCCCGUUAAAUCCAACGAUUCAAUCGUUGGACUGCGGGAGAUACUGUUGAGCUAGGAGGCGGGAGAGGCCGACGGUAUUCCCGGAGUAGGGGUGAAAUCUUAUAAUUCCGGGAGUACCACCAGUGGCGAAGGCUAUCGACUAAAACUCACUCUACUAUGACUUACGAAAGCUGGGGGAGCGAACCGGAUUAGAUACCCGGGUAGUCC